UAAAUUCAGGUUCAAUCUGCCCACCUAAUUUAAAUUCAUAUUAACAUUUACUGCUUUUGUCUGAUUGUAAGUGACUUACAUUUGAGUCAUGUUACACAGGUAGGGGAAUGUAGUGUUAGGUGUGUUGCCCAAGGACUGUUACUAUUACCAUUGUGUUCACACUGGCAGGUGACUGGUGUGUUUGAGGCAGCUUGCAAUGUCAAAUGUGGGCAUGUAUCAAAGUGACUGUUGAGCAUGCUGGCUAUCGAGCCAUCCAGCUUAAGAAAACAUUUAGUAUUCUCAAAACUAAAAGAAAUAAUAAAAAUACUGACAUAAGUGAUGUUUAAGCGAUGUGAGAACAUUCUAAGAACAUUUAGAAAACCUGACAGAUCAGAUGUUCUAAGAAUAUAAUGGCAAUAAUAGGAACAUUAAGAAAACAUUACACCAAACUAAAAUUGUUCACUGACUCUUUGCUACUUUCUUCCAUGAUAUUCUUUUCUCCAAAAAACAGGAAAAGAAGAAACAGCAGUUCUGAGCCUCUCUUCCAUAUUCAGAACAACACUGCUAAGAAAAUGAACGAAGUGUGGUAGGAACCAGAAGAAAAAACAUUUAGAUAGCAGAAGUUGGGAACAUCAGACCUCUGUGUCUACAUUUGACCCAAACUAUUUGUCUGGUUAUCAGUUUAGGAUGUCUUUUCACCAGGUCAUAAUUCAUAUGCAUUGUUAGGAAAUUGUCAUCUCAAUUUGUUACUUGUCAUCGUGUGCUAGUGUUAAAGCUAAGUUCACACAGCAGGUAAAGUGGCUCAAAUCACAAGUUCACUGUCGUAAAAAAAAGCGCAUGUGCAAAAGAACAUGGCUUCAUGUAAAGUUUCGGUUUCAUCUUCACUAGCAUCACAGCUGGGCUCACUAUAGAGAAUGAAUUCAGACUCACUGUAAAGUGGACACACUGCUUCUUCUUUCUUUUCAACAAGUUUCUUUUCUUUUGGCAUGGCAGCUUCCCCCCUUCUGUGGCAGCAUUCAGUCUUUUCUUUAGAAGCAUGGUGAGGUCCUUGACUUCACUAGCCCCCCACCACUGACAGUUUUUCACACAGCAUUUAAGUUUAAACAAUCACAUUACUGCAAAUCAGAUAUGUAUUGAAUUUUUAUCCCACAAAUUGUAGUAGCCGAAAUUUGGAUUGACCAAAGCCAACUUCUGCAACAGGGGCAGCAGUGUUGUUAGCCACUAGGUUACAUCAACUGUAUGAGCUAAUGAAAUGGAGCAUUUGUAGUUGGGUAGAGAGUGUACAGAUCCAGUACUUAAUACCUACCUACCAAAUGGCUCAACAAGAAGGGACAACUGGUGAACUGGCAACAAGUUCAUUGGCACUACUGUCUAGUCUAGCCCUUCAGGACAGGUCUUAAAGGAUCUCAUUCUAAUAUCUUGGUGCAAGAAACUUUAUUUUGGAGGUCUUGUGGAGUUCAUGUCUCAAAAGGUCACUCACUAAUUUGCCAACAGUAUCUGCUCGCUUGCAUUGUCCCUGGUGAUGUAAGGUUUGGAUGGAGCUGCUCAGCCAUAGAAACCCAUUCCAUGAAGCUUUCUAUGCUCUACUGUUCUAAUUUGUGAGCUAAUCUGAAGCUACAUGGAGUUUGGAGGUGUGUAGUGAUGAUAAACUCUGAAGCUACAUGAAGUUUGGAGGUGUGUAGUGAUUAACUAAUCUGAAGCUACAUGAAGUUUGGAGGUGUGUAGUGAUGAACUCUGAAGCUACAUGAAGUUUGGAGGUGUGUAGUGAUGAUAAACUCUGAAGCUACAUGAAGUUUGGAGGUGUGUAGUGAUGAUGAACUCUGAAGCUACAUGAAGUUUGGAGGUGUGUAGUGAUGAACUAAUCUGAAGCUACAUGAAGUUUGGAGGUGUGUAGUGAUGAACUAAUCUGAAGCUACAUGAAGUUUGGAGGUGUGUAGUGAUUGGUGUAGUGGCUCUGCAGGCAGUUGGUGAACUCUGUACACUAUGCUCCUCAGCAUCUCUGUUAUUUUACACUGACAGAGCACAGGGUCGCUGUCCUUCCCAGUCUCUUCCACUGUGUUAUAAUAUCACUGACAGUUGGCUGUGGAAUAUUUAGUAGUGAGAAAAUUUCACAACUGGACUUGUUGUAGUGGUGCUGCAUCCUAUCACAGUACCACGCUGGAGUACACUGAGCUCCUGAGAGCUUGAAACUCAUUAUUUCACUAAUGUUUGUAGAAGCAGUCUGCAUGACUAAGUGCUUGGUUUUUAUUGACCUAUAGCCAUGAAAGUGUCUGUAACCUAAGCGAAUACUUUUGGCAAAAUACAGUAUGUGAAAAACCAACUGGAACGGAUGUUUUGUCCCAGUGUGACCUUAAUAUGAGACUAAGCUGAACCACUUGUAAAUAAAUCUGCUCUUUGGACACUGACUGUGCAUAAAAUAGCUUUAUUUCCCUCAGAAUUAAUUUUGCCUGGAACACUGUGUAUUCAAUACUAUUCUCCACAGGGUCUUUCUGACCUAGAAGUGUCUGUUUAUCUCACUUUCUUCCUCUCAUCCACUUCGUCUAAUAAUACAUAUCGUAGCUGUACUCGGCUGAAGACUGAAUUUGGUUUCCCAGUGUACUAAAACUGUGCUCUUUGUAUUUAAAAGAAAGUCGAGAGCAGAAUUAAUCUCUAUAGAGCUUCUGCUGCAGCCUGCUUUACAUAUCAGAGCAAUGUGAGCAUUAUAAACUCAUAAACUCACUAAAUUCAUAAACCAAUUUCCCAUUUCUCUCCACUC